rnacentral:rRNA from 1 species
UCCAGACUCCUACGGGAGGCAGCAGUGGGGAAUAUUGCACAAUGGGGGGAACCCUGAUGCAGCGACGCCGCGUGGGUGAAGGAGCACCUCGGUGCGUAAAGCCCUAUCGGCAGGGAAGAAACAGACGGUACCUGACUAAGAAGCCCCGGCUAACUACGUGCCAGCAGCCGCGGUAAUACGUAGGGGGCAAGCGUUAUCCGGAUUCACUGGGUGUAAAGGGAGCGUAGACGGCGACGCAAGUCUGGAGUGAAAGCCCGGGGCCCAACCCCGGGACUGCUCUGGAAACUGCGGCGCUGGAGUAUGGGAGGGGCAGGCGGAAUUCCUGGUGUAGCGGUGAAAUGCGUAGAUAUCAGGAGGAACACCGGCGGCGAAGGCGGCCUGCUGGACCGUGACUGACGUUGAGGCUCGAGAGCGUGGGGAGCAAACAGGAUUAGAUACCCCAGUAU